rnacentral:rRNA from 1 species
GACGAACGCUGGCGGCGUGCUUAACACAUGCAAGUCGAACGGAAAGGCCCUGCUUGCAGGGUACUCGAGUGGCGAACGGGUGAGUAACACGUGGGUGAUCUGCCCUGCACUUCGGGAUAAGCUUGGGAAACUGGGUCUAAUACCGGAUAGGAGCCAUCUUUAGUGUGGUGGUUGGAAAGUUUUUUCGGUGUAGGAUGAGCUCGCGGCCUAUCAGCUUGUUGGUGGGGUAAUGGCCUACCAAGGCGGCGACGGGUAGCCGGCCUGAGAGGGUGUACGGCCACAUUGGGACUGAGAUACGGCCCAGACUCCUACGGGAGGCAGCAGUGGGGAAUAUUGAACAAUGGGCGCAAGCCUGAUGCAGCGACGCCGCGUGGGGGAUGAAGGCCUUCGGGUUGUAAACUCCUUUCGCUAGGGACGAAGCUUUUUUGUGACGGUACCUAGAUAAGAAGCACCGGCUAACUACGUG